UAGUCCACGUCGUAAACGAUGGAUACUAGCUGUAUGUCUACUUCAGGUAGAUGUGUGGCUAAGCGAAAGUGAUAAGUAUCCCACCUGGGGAGUACGAUCGCAAGAUUGAAACUCAAAGGAAUUGACGGGGGCCCGCACAAGCGGUGGAGCAUGUGGUUUAAUUCGAUGAUACGCGAGGAACCUUACCAGGGCUUAAAUGUAACGGGACAGAUCUAGAGAUAGAUCCUUCUUCGGACUCAUUACAAGGUGCUGCAUGGUUGUCGUCAGCUCGUGCCGUGAGGUGUCAGGUUAAGUCCUAUAACGAGCGCAACCCCCAUCGUUAGUUGCCAACGAGUAAUGUCGGGAACUCUAACGAAACUGCCGGUGCAAACCGUGAGGAAGGUGGGGAUGACGUCAAAUCAUCACGGGCCCUUACGUCCUGGGGCUACACACGUGCUACAAUGGUCGGGUACAGAGAGCAGGCCACUACGCGAGUAGGGAGCAAAUCUUU
rnacentral:rRNA from 1 species